rnacentral:rRNA from 1 species
CUUAUAGAUGGAUCCGCGCUGCAUUAGCUAGUUGGUAAGGUAACGGCUUACCAAGGCAACGAUGCAUAGCCGACCUGAGAGGGUGAUCGGCCACACUGGAACUGAGACACGGUCCAGACUCCUACGGGAGGCAGCAGUAGGGAAUCUUCCGCAAUGGGCGAAAGCCUGACGGAGCAACGCCGCGUGAGUGAUGAAGGUCUUCGGAUCGUAAAACUCUGUUAUUAGGGAAGAACAUAUGUGUAAGUAACUGUGCACAUCUUGACGGUACCUAAUCAGAAAGCCACGGCUAACUACGUGCCAGCAGCCGCGGUAAUACGUAGGUGGCAAGCGUUAUCCGGAAUUAUUGGGCGUAAAGCGCGCGUAGGCGGUUUCUUAAGUCUGAUGUGAAAGCCCACGGCUCAACCGUGGAGGGUCAUUGGAAACUGGAAAACUUGAGUGCAGAAGAGGAAAGUGGAAUUCCAUGUGUAGCGGUGAAAUGCGCAGAGAUAUGGAGGAACACCAGUGGCGAAGGCGACUUUCUGGUCUGUAACUGACGCUGAUGUGCGAAAGCGUGGGGAUCAAACAGGAUUAGAUACCCUGGUAGUCCACGCCGUAAACGAUGAGUGCUAAGUGUUAGGGGGUUUCCGCCCCUUAGUGCUG